AUUGAACGCUGGCGGCAGGCUUAACACAUGCAAGUCGAGCGGGGGAAGGUAGCUUGCUACCGGACCUAGCGGCGGACGGGUGAGUAAUGCUUAGGAAUCUGCCUAUUAGUGGGGGACAACAUCUCGAAAGGGAUGCUAAUACCGCAUACGUCCUACGGGAGAAAGCAAGGGAUCUUCGGAACUUGCGCUAAUAGAUGAGCCUAAGUCGGAUUAGCUAGUUGGUGGGGUAAAGGCCUACCAAGGCGACGAUCUGUAGCGGGUCUGAGAGGAUGAUCCGCCACACUGGGACUGAGACACGGCCCAGACUCCUACGGGAGGCAGCAGUGGGGAAUAUUGGACAAUGGGGGGAACCCUGAUCCAGCCAUGCCGCGUGUGUGAAGAAGGCCUUAUGGUUGUAAAGCACUUUAAGCGAGGAGGAGGCUACUUUAGUUAAUACCUAGAGAUAGUGGACGUUACUCGCAGAAUAAGCACCGGCUAACUCUGUGCCAGCAGCCGCGGUAA
rnacentral:rRNA from 1 species